rnacentral:rRNA from 1 species
CCUACGGGAGGCAGCAGUAAGGAAUAUUGGUCAAUGGACGCAAGUCUGAACCAGCCAUGCCGCGUGAAGGAUUAAGGUCCUCUGGAUUGUAAACUUCUUUUAUCUGGGACGAAAAAAGGCGAUUCUUCGUCACUUGACGGUACCAGAUGAAUAAGCACCGGCUAACUCCGUGCCAGCAGCCGCGGUAAUACGGAGGGUGCAAGCGUUAUCCGGAUUCACUGGGUUUAAAGGGUGCGUAGGCGGGCAGGUAAGUCAGUGGUGAAAUCCUAGAGCUUAACUCUAGAACUGCCAUUGAUACUAUCUGUCUUGAAUAUUGUGGAGGUAAGCGGAAUAUGUCAUGUAGCGGUGAAAUGCUUAGAUAUGACAUAGAACACCUAUUGCGAAGGCAGCUUACUACGCAUAUAUUGACGCUGAGGCACGAAAGCGUGGGGAUCAAACAGGAUUAGAUACCCUGGUAGUCCACGCCCUAACGAUGAUUACUCGACAUUGUGAUACACUAUAAGUGUUNUGAGACGAAGACAUUAAGUAAGUACCACCGUACGGAACGGUACGACCCGACCGAACGGUUAGUAAACGUUAAACGUUAAGUAAGUUAGUACGGACGUAGAGACGUUAGCCGACGGACGACGACGAGGGGAGGUAGG